AUGGAAACUUGAACUACGUGCUGGCAAGAAUGUGGCUGACAACACGGUGACCUGGAUCUGCCUCCAGGGGUGCUGGCAGAGCAGGGCUCUCACGCAGGGUUAGGAGAUGCACAGAAUUCAAGGCUUCCGAGUGACAGUUAGCAGAACCUGAAUGGGCUGCUCAUCAAGGAAAAAGCCCUGAUGGAGUCCAGGAACUCAAGUCCCAGUUCUGGUUCCUUCGCCAUUCAGCUGUGCCAUCAUGGGCACAUCACUUAGCCUCACUGGAGUUCAGUUUCCUCAGUAGUAAAAUGUGGUAAGCACAUCUCAAUUCAGACCAGCCACACUCCAGUGCUCGACAGCCACCUGUGGCUCACGGCCUGUACUGGACAGUGCAGCUGGAACCCAAUGGAUGAUUUUUUAAGGUCCCACUUAUGUCCCUCACUCAUCUACAGGCUCCAUGAAGUCAGAUAUCAAACAUUUCCAUUGCUACAUUCUCCAGGCCUAAUCUGCAUCCUCCCAGAGUGGCUCUUCAGUGAACAUCUACUGAAUUGAACAGACAUGCACAGAGCAGAUGGACAGCACUAGGGACUUGUCCUCUGGCCCCAGAGGCCCAUGAAAGAGUAUCCAGGCAGGCUGGACUAUGCUGGGAAGGGGGAAGGCCUGGGCCCUCAUCGAAAGGGAAGGACCCCAAAAGGAAGAGAAACCCAUCAACAUCCUGUUAACUAAACGGAGAGAAAUGCUGUUUAGGGGAAAAAAAAAAAAACAUAAUAAAUAAAAUUCCUGAGAGAAGCUGCUAAGUCAGGGAGCACCACACUCAUCCCCUUCUGCAAGAGAAUGAGAAGAUGGAGCUACAGCUCCCGUCCCACAUCAGCAUCUGGUGUGGCCUUCCCGCCACGGGCCAUGGGUCGGACCUGGCUCCACAGACAAAGGGGCUGCUUAGGCUGGGCUUGAAAUAGGCUGAGUGAAAACCUGCGAGCCCCUGGCUGCUUCCCUGUGCAUGGAAAGGAGCUGUUGGUGAGUAUGGAGAUCUCUGCCCUUGUCAGAGGAAGGCUUCCUCAUCACAAGGCAGGGCAGGUGUCUGUGCCCAAGAGCUGAGCAGAGAACAAGCAGCCAGUGGAGGCUUUCGCCUGAACUGUGCAAUCCUUACCUGAUUGGGAAGUGCAAGUGACAAUUAAUAAAUUAAUAGCGAGUCACUUUAUG
rnacentral:lncRNA from 1 species